rnacentral:rRNA from 1 species
CAGCAGCCACGGGAAUACGGAGGGAGCUAGCGUUGUUCGGAAUCACUGGGCGUAAAGCGCACGUAGGCGGCUAUUCAAGUCAGGGGUGAAAGCCCGGGGCUCAACCCCGGAACUGCCUUUGAAACUAGAUAGCUUGAAUCUUGGAGAGGCGAGUGGAAUUCCGAGUGUGGAGGUGAAAUUCGUAGAUAUUCGGAAGAACACCAGUGGCGAAGGCGACUCGCUGGACAAGUAUUGGCGCUGAGGUGCGAAAGCGUGGGGAGCAAACAGGAUUAGAUACCCCCGUAGUCCCUGUCUCUUAUAC